UACAGAGGGGAAGGCAGCACCUUGGGAGGACAUUGACGCUCAUGCAGGAAAGCGUGGGGAGCAACCAGGAUUAGAUACCUUGGUAGUCCACGCCUUAAAGGAUGUCAAUUAGCUGUUGGGGGUUUGAAUUCUUGGUAGCGAAGCUAACGCGUGAAAUUGACCGCCUGGGGAGUACGGCCGCAAGGUUAAAACUCAAAGGAAUUGACGGGGACCCGCACAAGCGGUGGAUGAUGUGGAUUAAUUCGAUGCAACGCGAAAAACCUUACCUGCUCUUGACAUGUAUGGAAUCCUUGAGAGAUUAGGGAGUGCCUUAAAGGGAAUCAGAACACAGGUGGUGCAUGGCUGUUGUCAGCUCGUGUCGUGAGAUGUUGGGUUAAGUCCCGCAAAGAGCGCACCCCUUGUCAUUAGUUGCCAUCAUUAAGUUGGGCACUCUAAUGAGACUGCCGGUGACAAACCGGAGGAAGGUGGGGAUGACGUCAAGUCAUCAUGGCCCUUAUGAGCAGGGCUUCACACGUCAUACAAUGGUAGGUACAGAGGGUUGCCAAGCCGCAAGGUGGAGCUAAUCUCAGAAAGCCGAUCGUAGUCCGGAUCGUAGUCUGCAACUCGAGUACGUGAAGUCGGAAUCGCUAGUAAUCGCGGAUCAGCAUGUCGCGGUGAAUACGUUCCCGGGUCUUGUACACACCGCCCGUCACACCAUGGGAGUGGGGGAUACCAGAAGUGGGUAGACUAACCUUCGGGGGGUCGCUUACCACGGUAUGAUUCAUGACUGGGGUGAAGUCGUAACAAGGUAACC
rnacentral:rRNA from 1 species